rnacentral:rRNA from 1 species
UACGUAGGCAGCGAGCGUUGUUCGGAGUUACUGGGCGUAAAGAGUGCGUAGGCGGUUUUCUAAGUUUGGUGUGAAAUCUCCCGGCUUAACUGGGAGGGUGCGCUGAAGACUGGAAGGCUUGAGUAUGGGAGAGGUAAGCGGAAUUCCUGGUGUAGCGGUGAAAUGCGUAGAUAUCAGGAGGAACACCUGCGGUGUAGACGGCUUACUGGACCAUCACUGACGCUGAGGCACGAAAGCGUGGGUAGCAAACAGG